UUUUAUCCGCUGGAAACUGUCCGAUCCGCCGGACAAUUAUCCAGUCGUGUGUACGGGGCCUAACAGAUAUAACCUCUUCCUGCUAAGCUAGGCUAGGCUCCAGUGUUUGUAGCAAGCAGCCAUUAACCACAAAGGAAGAGGGGUGGGAUCUCUGUGUCCCGUGAUGUACUGAAAGUAAAGGGUUUUAGAGGUCAACCAAAAAUCGCACUUUUUUCGUACACCCUGGGACACAAAGAGUGUUCAUAUUCAUAACGAUAGGGAUGUCCCAAAGCGAUGAAAUGAGGGGAGAACACACAGAAAUAAAACACCAAAUCCGAAUAGGUAAGAACUUUACAUGGCCACCUACAUCACCCGAUGGCACUGUCCCCUUCUGAUGUCACAUGAUGUUAGAAGGGGCGGUGCAAAAACAUGCAAAACAUACCAACUGAAGAAUGCAUCCUCAGUGGCACAAUCAGUGAAAGUAUGAACCGAAUCCUGGUAGCAGUUCUACAAGCUGCUGAAGCCUAAGGAUGAAUAGCUCAGGAGGUACCAAGACCCCUAGCAAAAUGGGCUUUCACCCAAAAAAA